rnacentral:siRNA from 1 species
AAGCACUGGUGAUUCAUCGAC